CUUUAACGAUCCCCCGGUGGCGGUGAGCAGCAGUGUCGGAAGGGGUGAGCGGCGCGAACUCGCAACCAGCUGCCGAAUCUGCAGCCCAGCUGUCUCCCCUAGCAGCCAGAUCCUCUGGGGAAAGUUGCUCGCCUCUCUGUGCCUCAGUUUCCUCGCCUGUAAAUGACAGCUGCCCUAUGGGGUUGACGUGACUAUCAAAUGGAUUCUUUUCCUGGAACUGCCUGGCACAGAGUAAGGGCUUAUGAAAUAAUACUCUGGGUGUUUUUAAAGCAGACCUUCUUCAGAGGGCCACUCCGACUCUGCAGUGUUUGCCUAAUCACUCCAAUUUAGGAAGAGAUUUCUGGAUGUCAGCUUGAGUGGCCAGGGAAGCCAAGAUGGACCGAGGAGCGGACUGUGAGGGAGCCAGGCUUCCGUGGGGUCCUGCGCUCCCACACCUCUGAGGACUGCCUUGGCUGACUGGAAGAGCAACCGCGACCAGGCCUGGUCUAGUGUCUUUCCUGAAGUUCACGUGAACAGAGUCCUGGUCGAUAAACAUCGUAAUCCCUGC